rnacentral:rRNA from 1 species
CCUACGGGGCGCAGCAGUGGGGAAUAUUGCACAAUGGGGGAAACCCUGAUGCAGCAACGCCGCGUGAGUGAUGACGGCCUUCGGGUUGUAAAGCUCUGUCUUCAGGGACGCUAAUGACGGUACCUGAGGAGGAAGCCAAGGCUAACUACGUGACAGCAGCCGCGGUAAUACGUAAGGGGCGAGCGUUGUCCGGAUUUACUGGGCGUAAAGGGAGCGUAGGCGGAUUUUUGAGUGAGAUGUGAAAUACUCGGGCUCGAC